GAUGAACGCUGGCGGCGUGCCUAAUACAUGCAAGUCGAGCGAACGGACGAGAAGCUUGCUUCUCUGAUGUUAGCGGCGGACGGGUGAGUAACACGUGGAUAACCUACCUAUAAGACUGGGAUAACUUCGGGAAACCGUAGCUAAUACCGGAUAAUAUUUUGAACCGCAUGGUUCAAAAGUGAAAGACGGUCUUGCUGUCACUUAUAGAUGGAUCCGCGCUGCAUUAGCUAGUUGGUAAGGUAACGGCUUACCAAGGCAACGAUGCAUAGCCGACCUGAGAGGGUGAUCGGCCACACUGGAACUGAGACACGGUCCAGACUCCUACGGGAGGCAGCAGUAGGGAAUCUUGCGCAAUGGGCGCAAGCCUGACGGAGCAACGCCGCGUGAGUGAUGAAGGUCUUCGGAUCGUAAAACUCUGUUAUUAGGGAAGAACAUAUGUGUAAGUAACUGUGCACAUCUUGACGGUACCUAAUCAGAAAGCCACGGCUAACUACGUG
rnacentral:rRNA from 1 species